AGCAACAAAUGCCCUGCUUCCAGGAAAAGCCUCUAAGCAUCAGGUAACAUCAAAUCGUACCCCAAACCGACACAGGUGGUCAGGUAGAGAAUACCAAGGCGCUUGAGAGAACUCGGGUGAAGGAACUAGGCAAAAUGGUGCCGUAACUUCGGGAGAAGGCACGCUGACAUGUAGGUGAAGUGAUUUACUCAUGGAGCUGAAGUCAGUCGAAGAUACCAGCUGGCUGCAACUGUUUAUUAAAAACACAGCACUGUGCAAACACGAAAGUGGACGUAUACGGUGUGACGCCUGCCCGGUGCCGGAAGGUUAAUUGAUGGGGUCAGCGCAAGCGAAGCUCCUGAUCGAAGCCCCGGUAAACGGCGGCCGUAACUAUAACGGUCCUAAGGUAGCGAAAUUCCUUGUCGGGUAAGUUCCGACCUGCACGAAUGGCGUAAUGAUGGCCAGGCUGUCUCCACCCGAGACUCAGUGAAAUUGAACUCGCUGUGAAGAUGCAGUGUACCCGCGGCAAGACGGAAAGACCCCGUGAACCUUUACUAUAGCUUGACACUGAACAUUGAGCCUUGAUGUGUAGGAUAGGUGGGAGGCUUUGAAGCGUGGACGCCAGUCUGCGUGGAGCCGACCUUGAAAUACCACCCUUUAAUGUUUGAUGUUCUAACGUGGACCCGUAAUCCGGGUUGCGGACAGUGUCUGGUGGGUAGUUUGACUGGGGCGGUCUCCUCCUAAAGAGUAACGGAGGAGCACGAAGGUUGGCUAAUCCUGGUCGGACAUCAGGAGGUUAGUGCAAUGGCAUAAGCCAGCUUGACUGCGAGCGUGACGGCGCGAGCAGGUGCGAAAGCAGGUCAUAGUGAUCCGGUGGUUCUGAAUGGAAGGGCCAUCGCUCAACGGAUAAAAGGUACUCCGGGGAUAACAGGCUGAUACCGCCCAAGAGUUCAUAUCGACGGCGGUGUUUGGCACCUCGAUGUCGGCUCAUCACAUCCUGGGGCUGAAGUAGGUCCCAAGGGUAUGGCUGUUCGCCAUUUAAAGUGGUACGCGAGCUGGGUUUAGAACGUCGUGAGACAGUUCGGUCCCUAUCUGCCGUGGGCGCUGGAGAACUGAGGGGGGCUGCUCCUAGUACGAGAGGACCGGAGUGGACGCAUCACUGGUGUUCGGGUUGUCAUGCCAAUGGCACUGCCCGGUAGCUAAAUGCGGAAGAGAUAAGUGCUGAAAGCAUCUAAGCACGAAACUUGCCCCGAGAUGAGUUCUCCCUGAGACUUAGAGUCUCCUGAAGGAACGUUGAAGACGACGACGUUGAUAGGCCGGGUGUGUAAGCGCAGCGAUGCGUUGAGCUAACCGGUACUAAUGAACCGUGAGGCUUAACCUUACAAC
rnacentral:rRNA from 1 species